rnacentral:hammerhead_ribozyme from 1 species
AUCCUGCCGAGGAAUCCCAACUAGGACGAAACUCGCGUCCUGGAU